GCAUUGGUGGUUCAAUGGUAGAAUUCUUGCCUUCCCCAUGAGAGACCUGGGUGUGAUUCCUGGCAGAUGCA
rnacentral:tRNA from 1 species